UACGGGGGGAGCAAGCGUUGUUCGGAUUUACUGGGCGUAAAGGGCGCGUAGGCGGCCACUGCAAGUCGGUUGUGAAAUCUCCGGGCUUAACCCGGAAAGGUCAAUCGAUACUGCAGGGCUAGAGUGCAGAAGGGGCAACUGGAAUUCUCGGUGUAGCGGUGAAAAUGCGUAGAUAUCAGGAGGAACACCCAUUGCGAAGGCAGCUCGCUGGGACGUUACUGACGCUGAGACGCGAAAGCGUGGGGAGCAAACAGG
rnacentral:rRNA from 1 species